rnacentral:rRNA from 1 species
AAUAUUGCGCAAUGGAGGAAACUCUGACGCAGCCAUGCCGCGUGAAUGAAGAAGGCCCUAGGGUUGUAAAAUUCUUUCAGAUGCGAAGAUAAUGACGGUAACAUCAGAAGAAGCUCCGGCUAAAUUCGUGCCAGCAGCCGCGGUAAUACGAAUGGAGCGAGCGUUGUUCGGAAUCAUUGGGCGUAAAGCGUAUGUAGGUGGACUGAUUAGUCAGACGUGAAAUCCCGAGGCUCAACCUCGGAAUUGCGUUUGAUACUGUCAGUCUAGUGUCCCGGAGGGGUUGACGGAAUUCCUAGUGUAGAGGUGAAAUUCGCAGAUAUUAGGAGGAACACCAGUGGCGUAGGCGGUCAACUGGACGGGUACAGACACUGAGAUACGAAAGCGUGGGGAGCAAACAGGAUUAGAUACCCUGGUAGUCCACGCCGUA